rnacentral:rRNA from 1 species
UGGUGGGUAGUUUGACUGGGGCGGUCUCCUCCUAAAGAGUAACGGAGGAGCACGAAGGUUGGCUAAUCCUGGUCGGACAUCAGGAGGUUAGUGCAAUGGCAUAAGCCAGCUUGACUGCGAGCGUGACGGCGCGAGCAGGUGCGAAAGCAGGUCAUAGUGAUCCGGUGGUUCUGAAUGGAAGGGCCAUCGCUCAACGGAUAAAAGGUACUCCGGGGAUAACAGGCUGAUACCGCCCAAGAGUUCAUAUCGACGGCGGUGUUUGGCACCUCGAUGUCGGCUCAUCACAUCCUGGGGCUGAAGUAGGUCCCAAGGGUAUGGCUGUUCGCCAUUUAAAGUGGUACGCGAGCUGGGUUUAGAACGUCGUGAGACAGUUCGGUCCCUAUCUGCCGUGGGCGCUGGAGAACUGAGGGGGGCUGCUCCUAGUACGAGAGGACCGGAGUGGACGCAUCACUGGUGUUCGGGUUGUCAUGCCAAUGGCACUGCCCGGUAGCUAAAUGCGGAAGAGAUAAGUGCUGAAAGCAUCUAAGCACGAAACUUGCCCCGAGAUGAGUUCUCCCUGAUCCUUUAAGGGUCCUGAAGGAACGUUGAAGACGACGACGUUGAUAGGCCGGGUGUGUAAGCGCAGCGAUGCGUUGAGCUAACCGGUACUAAUGAACCGUGAGGCUUAACCUUACAACGCCGAAGCUGUU